AGAGGUCUCGAGCGUUAGGCGGAAUCACUGGGCUUAAAGCGUGUGUAGGCGGAUCGUUAAGUGCCUUGUGAAAUCCCACGGCUCAACCGUGGAACUGCUUGGCAUACUGGCGGUCUUGAGCAACCUAGGGGCGAGCGGAACAAAUGGUGGAGCGGUGAAAUGCGUAGAUAUCAUUUGGAACGCCAAUGGUGAAAACAGCUCGCUGGGGGUUUGCUGACGCUGAGACACGAAAGCCAGGGGAGCAAACGGGAUUAGAUACCCCGGUAGUCCUGGCCCUAAACGAUGUCCACUAGAUCGUAGCGCCUCUGACGGUGUUAUGGUCGAAGCAAAAGUGCUAAGUGGACCGCCUGGGAAGUACGGUCGCAAGGCUA
rnacentral:rRNA from 1 species